rnacentral:misc_RNA from 1 species
UUUCCGUAGGUGAACCUGCGGAAGGAUCAUUAUUGUAUAACCGAGGUGCGAGGGCUGUCGCUGACCCGAAAGGUCUUGCACGCCCGAGUCCCCUCACACACAUCCAUCUCACCCCUAUGUGCACCACCGCGCGGGUCCCCCUUUGGCUUGUUCGGAGGGGGGCUUACGUUUUCACACAAACUUUGUAUGCAGUGUAGAAUGUAUUCUUUGGUUGUGCGAUCACGCAAUCAAUACAACUUUCAACAACGGAUCUCUUGGCUCUC